AACGAACGCUGGCGGCAGGCUUAACACAUGCAAGUCGAGCGCCCCGCAAGGGGAGCGGCAGACGGGUGAGUAACGCGUGGGAAUCUACCCAUCUCUACGGAAUAACGCAUGGAAACGUGUGCUAAUACCGUUUACGUCCUUCGGGAGAAAGAUUUAUCGGAGAUGGAUGAUCCCGCGUUGGAUUAGCUGGUUGGUGGGGUAAAGGCCUACCAAGGCGACGAUCCAUAGCUGGUCUGAGAGGAUGAUCAGCCACACUGGGACUGGGAAACGGCCCAGACUCCGACGGGAGGCAGCAGUGGGGAAUAUUGGACAAUGGGCGCAAGCCUGAUCCAGCCAUGCCGCGUGAGUGAUGAAGGCCCUAGGGUUGUAAAGCUCUUUCACCGGUGAAGAUAAUGACGGUAACCGGAGAAGGAGCCCCGGCUAACUUCGUGCCAGCCGCCGCCGUAAAAC
rnacentral:rRNA from 1 species